UCCAGACUCCUACGGGAGGCAGCAGUGAGGAAUAUUGGUCAAUGGCCGGAAGGCUGAACCAGCCAAGCCGCGUGAAGGACGAAGGUGCCAAGCAUUGUAAACUUCUUUUGUCAAGGGACAAAAUCAGGCUCGAGAGCCUGACCGAGGGUACUUGAAGAAAAAGCGUCGGCUAACUCCGUGCCAGCAGCCGCGGUAAUACGGAGGAUGCGAGCGUUAUCCGGAUUUAUUGGGUUUAAAGGGUGCGUAGGCGGGCUUUUAAGUCAGCGGUAAAAAUUCGGGGCUCAACCCCGUCCGGCCGUUGAAACUGGGGGCCUUGAGUGGGCGAGAAGAAGGCGGAAUGCGUGGUGUAGCGGUGAAAUGCAUAGAUAUCACGCAGAACUCCGAUUGCGAAGGCAGCAUACCGGCGCCCAACUGACGCUCAUGCACGAAAGCGUGGGUAUCGAACAGGAUUAGAUACCCCUGUAUA
rnacentral:rRNA from 1 species